ACGACGGUUAGAGCAAGACACCACUUCACACGGAACUCCCAGAAGGUGUACUGCAACAAUCAACUGAAAAUAUGAAAAAAAAUAUAUUGGAUAAUAAACAACUUUUAAACUAAAUUCCACUUCGCAGAAGCCUGUUGAUCAACUGAAGUGUAUGCGGUACCGGUAGUUGACGUGUGAUUAUUGAGUUUCAAUCAAGGUCUUAUAUACUGUGCUAAUAAGCUUACAGAUACUUGUCGUAAUCCCCUUGGGAUGAUGACCAAAGAAAUUACAGCUGACCAGCUGAGUACCAGUAGUAGUCACAGUUCACAGCACGGUCCUAAGUAUGGAAGAUUAAACUCAGAAGAAGGCGAGGGGCGCCUGGUGUAUUGAAGGUCUACUUACCAUUGAUCGGUACGAGUACAUGGAGGUGGACUUUCGUGACUUAAAAGUGAUCACAGGGAUUGGCACGCAGGGAAGAUGGCAUUAUGGGAAAGGCAAUCAACAUGCACGGCGUUUCCGAGUUGAAUACAGACGAGACAAUGAAACGCAAGAAUGGAGACAUUAUGUUGGAUACCCCGACAAAAUGAUAUUAUUCUCCUGAAGACGAUUGAAGCAACCCAUUUUGAAACGUCGGGACAUUCUCAACCAGCAACAGUUCUUUUCAGAACGUGGUGUACCGCAAGCAUUAUAGGUUAUCUUUGGUGUCACUGAAAUCGUCAGAGCACUUUACUAAAAUGGUGGAGGUUAUAUUAAGUAAUAUCAAUUAAAAUAGGUAGAAACACUUUACUGGAAGUGGAAAUAGUCUAAAGUCUGGAUCAUAGUUUAAUAUGAUCAUAUUAAUUAGAUAUUAUAUAAUUAUUGUGAUUAUAUUUUUGAUAUGUAAGUUCUUAUAAGAUCAUUUUUAAUUGCUUUUAUAAAAGUUCAUCUUUAAAAAAAUGUAACCAUGGGAGCUUUUCUCCUUGUUAACAGCUUUUAACGGACUAUUUUUAUUACAGGUAAUUUAUUUGAGAAGCGUGACACACUUGAUGACAUAUUAUUGUCUUAUUCCUUACUCUACUAUUACUAUGUCCGUGGUCAGUGCUGCAUUAUUUAAACUACCUUUAAAACCGUUAAGAGAAUUUGACACAUGAACUUGACCAGCAUACUGGAAUGUAACCUGUGAUUUUUUUUUUGUGUACUUUGAGAUGUUUUGAGACUUUUAAAAAACAAAUUAGAAAGAAUUUUUUUUUAACAUGAACGUGACCAGUAUAGUCUAAAGUGAGCUGUGAUUUAUUAUAUACCUUUAGGUGUUUUUGAGACUUUUAAAUACAAAAAUUAGGAAAAAUAUGUUUGUUGG